rnacentral:rRNA from 1 species
CAAGUCGAACGAGACCUUCGGGUCUAGUGGCGCACGGGUGCGUAACGCGUGGGAAUUUGCCCUUAGGUUCGGAAUAACUCAGGGAAACUUGAGCUAAUACCGGAUGACUUCGGUCCAAAGAUUUAUCGCCUAAGGAUGAGCCCGCGUAGGAUUAGCUAGUUGGUGAGGUAAAGGCUCACCAAGGCUACGAUCCUUAGCUGGUCUGAGAGGAUGAUCAGCCACACUGGGACUGAGACACGGCCCAGACUCCUACGGGAGGCAGCAGUGGGGAAUAUUGGACAAUGGGCGAAAGCCUGAUCCAGCAAUGCCGCGUGAGUGAUGAAGGCCCUAGGGUUGUAAAGCUCUUUUACCAGGGAUGAUAAUGACAGUACCUGGAGAAUAAGCUCCGGCUAACUCCGUGCCAGCAGCCGCGGUAAUA